AGAGUUUGAUCCUGGCUCAGGAUGAACGCUGGCGGUAUGCUUAACACAUGCAAGUCGAACGGUCCUUUCGGGGAUAGUGGCGGACGGGUGAGUAACGCGUGAGAAUCUGCCUUCAGGACGGGGACAACAGCUGGAAACGGCUGCUAAAACCCGAUGUGCCUACGGGUGAAAUAUUUAUAGCCUGAAGAGGAGCUCGCGUCUGAUUAGCUAGUUGGUAGGGUAACGGCUUACCAAGGCGACGAUCAGUAACUGGUCUGAGAGGAUGACCAGUCACACUGGGACUGAGACACGGCCCAGACUCCUACGGGAGGCAGCAGUGGGGAAUUUUCCGCAAUGGGCGCAAGCCUGACGGAGCAAUACCGCGUGAGGGAGGAAGGCUCUUGGGUCGUAAACCUCUUUUAUCAGGGAAGAACACAAUGACGGUACCUGAUGAAUCAGCAUCGGCUAACUCCGUGCCAGCAGCCGCGGUAAUACGGAGGAUGCAAGCGUUAUCCGGAAUUAUUGGGCGUAAAGCGUCCGCAGGUGGUUUUGAAAGUUUGCUGUUAAAGCGCGAGGCUCAACUUCGUAACGGCGGUGAAAACUUCAAGACUAGAGUUUGGUAGGGGUCACGGGAGUUCCCAGUGUAGCGGUGAAAUGCGUAGAUAUUGGGAAGAACACCAGCGGCGAAAGCGCGUGACUGGGCCUGAACUGACACUCAUGGACGAAAGCUAGGGGAGCGAAAGGGAUUAGAUACCCCUGUAGUCCUAG
rnacentral:rRNA from 1 species